rnacentral:rRNA from 1 species
UACGUAGGGUGCGAGCGUUAAUCGGAAUUACUGGGCGUAAAGCGUGCGUAGACGGCUAUCUAAGUCGGGUGUGAAAGCCCCGGGCUCAACCUGGGAAUUGCAUUCGAGACUGAAUAGCUAGGGUACGGUAGAGGGAAGUGGAAUUUCCGGUGUAGCGGUGAAAUGCGUAGAUAUCGAGAGGAACACCUGCGGCGAAGGCGGGUUGCUGGGCUGACACUGACGCUGAGGCGCGAAAGCUAGGGGAGCGAACGGG